rnacentral:rRNA from 1 species
GAUCCUGGCUCAGGAUGAACGCUAGCUACAGGCUUAACACAUGCAAGUCGAGGGGGCAGCAUCAUCAAAGCUUGCUUUGAUGGAUGGCGACCGGCGCACGGGUGAGUAACACGUAUCCAACCUGCCGACAACACUGGGAUAGCCUUUACGAAAGAAAGAUUAAUACCGGAUGGUAUAGUUUUCCCGCAUGGGGUGACUAUUAAAGAAUUUCGGUUGUCGAUAGGGGAUGCGUUCCAUUAGGGCAGG